GAUGAACGCUGGCGGCGUACCUAAUACAUGCAAGUCGAGCGAAUGGAUUAAGAGCUUGCUCUUAUGAAGUUAGCGGCGGACGGGUGAGUAACACGUGGGUAACCUGCCCAUAAGACUGGGAUAACUCCGGGAAACCGGGGCUAAUACCGGAUAACAUUUUGAACCGCAUGGUUCGAAAUUGAAAGGCGGCUUCGGCUGUCACUUAUGGAUGGACCCGCGUCGCAUUAGCUAGUUGGUGAGGUAACGGCUCACCAAGGCAACGAUGCGUAGCCGACCUGGGAGGGUGAUCGGCCAACCUGGGACUGAAACACGGCCCAGACUCCUACGGGAGGCAGCAGUAGGGAAUCUUCCGCAAUGGACGAAAGUCUGACGGAGCAACGCCGCGUGAGUGAUGAAGGCUUUCGGGUCGUAAAACUCUGUUGUUAGGGAAGAACAAGUGCUAGUUGAAUAAGCUGGCACCUUGACGGUACCUAACCAGAAAGCCACGGCUAACUACGUGCCAGCCGCCGCCGUAA
rnacentral:rRNA from 1 species